AGUGAACGCUGGCGGUAGGCCUAGCACAUGCAAGUCGAACGGCAGCACAGUAAGAGCUUGCUCUUACGGGUGGCGAGUGGCGGACGGGUGGGGAAUACAUCGGAAUCUACUUUUUCGUGGGGGAUAACGUAGGGAAACUUACGCUAAUACCGCAUACGACCUACGGGUGAAAGCAGGGGAUCUUCGGACCUUGCGCGAUUGAAUGAGCCGAUGUCGGAUUAGCUAGUUGGCGGGGUAAAGGCCCACCAAGGCGACGAUCCGUAGCUGGUCUGAGAGGAUGAUCAGCCACACUGGAACUGAGACACGGUCCAGACUCCUACGGGAGGCAGCAGUGGGGAAUAUUGGACAAUGGGCGCAAGCCUGAUCCAGCCAUACCGCGUGGGUGAAGAAGGCCUUCGGGUUGUAAAGCCCUUUUGUUGGGAAAGAAAAGCAGCAGGUUAAUACCCCGCUGUUCUGACGGUACCCAAAGAAUAAGCACCGGCUAACUUCGU
rnacentral:rRNA from 1 species